ACAUCGAAAAGGCAAACCGCAUGAAAGUGCGGGACGCAAAGCUACAGGGGCUUCGUGGUCGCAGAUCACAUGCCAGCCAGUUCCCGAA
rnacentral:ncRNA from 2 species